GACGAACGCUGGCGGCGUGCCUAAUACAUGCAAGUCGAACGCUUUUUCUUUCACCGGAGCUUGCUCCAUCGAAAGAAAAAGAGCGGCGGACGGGUGAGUAACGCGUGAGUAACCUGCCCUAUACAGGGGGAUAGCCAUUGGAAACGGUGAUUAAUACCCCAUAAGACCACGCCAUCGCAUGAUGAAGUGGUAAAAACUGAGGUGGUAUAGGAUGGACUCGCGUCUGAUUAGCUAGUUGGUGAGGUAACGGCUCACCAAGGCGACGAUCAGUAACCGGCCUGAGAGGGUGAACGGUCACACUGGAACUGAGACACGAUCCAGACUCCUACGGGAGGCAGCAGUGGGGAAUAUUGCACAAUGGGGGAAACCCUGAUGCAGCGAUGCCGCGUGAACGAAGAAGGCUUUCGAGUCGUAAAGUUCUGUUCUUAGGGAAGAAAAUGACGGUACCUAAGGAGAAAGCACCGGCUAAAUACGUGCCAGCAGCCGCCGUAA
rnacentral:rRNA from 1 species